UAGAGCUGGUUAUUUAAUUAACAGGCAAUAAAAUAAAUUAACGAAAAAUUAAUAAAUGAUAAGUAAAAGAGAUGUAUUAGGAUGAUCCAGAGUAUAUAUUCUGACUGAUAUAUUCCCUGAAAGUUUCAGGUCCCUUGUAAAAGGCGUGGAAAAUACGUUGCAGCAGCAUUAUGAAUGGGGUUAUGACAUUCUCUACCCUCUAUGGGUAACCCCACAGAUAAAAAUCCAAAUGAUUUAGUUUAAGGGGAGCAAGAAUAUCACACCAUACAACUCGAUCUAUUCACCUGUGCAGAAGAAACUAAAAUGUCUUCACUCUACGUCAUAUCCAGUCACCAGGAACAACAGUUAUACAGCAUCCUUUAAGUUACAGAAAAUUUUUCUCGAACUUUUCCUGGAAAAUAUAACCUUUUUCUUAAUAAAAUCGAAGAAAUAAAGUAUUAGAAAUUUCAUUGUAAUUAUCAGGGAUAAAAGAGAAUAUGCUGACACUUUACACUCAAAAAAGUCACGUUUUAGAAAUAUUUUGAAUAGUCCAUAAGUAUAAUGGACUCUUAAGAGGAAAAAAAGGAGAAAGAUGCUCGAAAGAUUUGAAAUGUGGUUAUGGAAGAAAAUGGAGAAAAUAGCCGAACUGAGAGAAUUACAAAUGAAGAAAGAUGUCUUAUAGAAUGUAUAUUGAGAAUAGAAAAGGACUUUUCUUGGGCGUAUUUUCAGAGGAAACAGUUUAUUGGGAAAUAUAGUAAAUGGGGAGACAUUGAAUAAGCAAAUUUCUCGUGUGAAAAGAAAAACUCGUUAAUUAAUUUAUCAAAAAUACUUUGAUAAAUUAAUUAACGAUUUUUUCUG